rnacentral:lncRNA from 1 species
AACUCUUUCAGGCAUGGUCUAGGCCUGAUCACAGGGAGAACAGAUUUUAAAGCUUUGUCACCUGGAGUGGAUUUUUCUCCGUUGAGUUCGAUGUGGCAGUUAGACCUGCCCAGAGCAGCUGGAAGAGGAUGUUGAGCUGAAAUGGAGUAACAGGACCGUGGAAGAGCUAAGUCCCCAGAUUGGCAGGAGAUGGGGUGUGUCGGAGUCUCUAGGAAUACCCCAUUGCCUGUUGCAGAAUCUGGACCGUUGUCUCUGCCACAGAUCACCUGCUGGGCAGUGGGGUCAGGGCUCCACACCAGUGCCCUGAAGCACGGUCUCCUCUAAGAUAAGAGGGGCUAAGUUCAAAACCCUGAGUGUAGGAUGGUGGUCAAAGAAGAGGGGUCCCUAGGGUUCCCCUCCUUGCCUGCAGUUAACUUCAUAGCUUCUCCAGGGUACCAGCUUUGGUGCCAGCACACAGCACUCUCAACAGCUCCUGUGCGGGUAGCCAUGGGUUCACUGCUUGGUGAUCAGAUGAACAGUAUGAAGGCUCCCCAUCCUUCUUGUACAUUUAUGGACCCUGCAGAGAGACAUAAGACCGUCGGGGUGGGUUGCAGAGGACUAAGGGCUGUAGCAGGAUGCCUCACUGUAACAAUUAUGCCAAGAAUUCUGGGAUUGAAGUCGAGUCCCCAAGCUGGUGUUUCUCAAAUUGUACACACACACACACACACACACACACACACACACACACACACACACACACACACCAUCCCAGGCCAGCAGCAGGAACCUCAUCUGGAGACUUAGCAGCAAAUCGUCAGCCCCACCAGACUCAGUGGGUAGAGCAACCUGUCCUCUGCAAGUCUGAGGUCCAGCCUCCAGGUGAGGCCGGUGACAUCAAGCUUGGGAACCACUCAGCCCAGCCUCAGAAGGUGACUGGUUCUUGGUGUGAGGAAUGAGGGCCAGGAAAGGUAGAAAAGGACCCCACCAGUGUCUGCAGAGCAGGAAAGAGAGAACAUCCUGGAAGCCCCUACCUGUGUUCGGUCCUGCUGCCAAUGCAGUGCAGGGGGUGAGUGAAACUUGGGGUGCCUGCACUUUAGGGAACCUAGCCUGAGGCACUAGUCUGUUUUCUUACAGCUGUGAAGAUUCCAAUUGAGGCUUUCAGAAAACAUAGGUAAAUUUUAAAAAAAAUGCGUUUUGCAAAUGCAGCCCUAAAGGGUACUGCUGAGUUUUUUAGGGGACCAUGUCCGUGGUGGGGUGGGGUGCUCUCCUGGUGAAAUUCAGUCCCAGCACUGCAAAAUAGAAAAUACUGAUACACAGAGUGUUCCGGUGACAGGUCUGCACUGCUGAGGGAGCUGCAAGGGCAGCAGAGCCUGGUCUGAUGCAGGAGCACUGUGUGAGGUGGCAUCUUUAACUGGACUAGGGCAGAGGUGGGAGGUGUGAGCAUCUGUGUGGUUUCUACUUUACAGCAAAGCCUCCAUCCGGUUAGAACUAGAACGGGGCAAGGCUUUGAGAAUGGUGCUGCCUGUUCACGGGAGCAUCCAGGCACUCAGAGAGAGAUGCCACACUCCUAGUUAGCAAUGUUACAAUGUUUCUCCCAGGACGGCAGGUCUGAGAAUCCUUCUGCAACAGAACAUAGUCCUCUAGAACACAGUGAAUUCCUGAAAAUAAAAGACUUGGGGCUUGUAGAGCGCUUACCUAGGAAGCGCAAGGCCCUGGGUUCAGUCCCCAGCUCCGAAAAAAAGAACCCCCCCCAAAAAAAAAGACUUGGGGCUUUAGAGCGGGGUUGUGGGUAAUGACUGAAAGUAAGGCUAAGUCUGAGUGGGUGGAGAACAAUGCUAAUUUCCAGUGGAUGCGGGUGUCUCUUCUGAGGGCUUCUGGGAGAAAGAACCGCAAAGCACUGGGCCUAUCUGUCCAAAGGCUUGAAGAAUCUAUGCAGCUGAGACUCACGUUAGGAACCCUUCAUCUGUUGUAAAUAUGUUGUACAUACAUAGGAGGCUGUAUAUUUUUGCAGGUGUUGAUCCACACAGAAAUAGAGGUCACUAGUAUUCCGCAUUUUAAAAAAACCCAUGUUCUCAUAGAUGUUAGUGGUUUUGUUUGGGAACUAGAAGAAUUUUACCUUCUUUCCCAUAGUUCUGUCAAUGUAAAUCUGGAGCCUAAAACCUUAACUGUUUGGAAAAGAGAAAAAUGUCUGGGAAAUAACUGCUUUGAUUUCUUAUGCUGGUAUUGCGAUCUGUUGUCUAGAUGCUACAGGAAAGAUGUUUAGGGGGAAAUCAUUGUCCUAUGGAAACAGGCAUGCCCAAAAGGAGACUUUUCACUACAUUAUGUCCUUUCACAGUGAACGUUGAUGCUACUUCAUAGAAGUUGUGAAAAGAGAACUUAGGGAGGGUUUGGUUUUUGGUUUUUUGUUUUCAAAACUGAAGUUGCUGUUUCCCAAACUUUGGGAUCCGUGAGGUGAGAGCUGAACAUUACUAGGAGCGCAGGUUUGAAGGACAGCAUCUGUGAUGUCUAAGCCUUUGAAGGUCGUGCAUGUCUGCCUUUUAGCAUUGAUGCCAACAUAGAUGGUCUUGUCGCCCCCUCCCCCAAACACUUGAAUCUUAACCAUCGGUACGCAGUGCAGUCUCUAGAGUCCAGUGUGUCUUCGAUCCCCAUCUGACUCAGUACAUGUAGCACAGCACUAUUUUACUAAUGUAAAAACCUUGUAAAUGAUUUCAGGUGGGCAUCCAAAGUGAAUCACAGGUAACUAGACUUACCUGUUCACUGUCCAUCACAUAAAGUUGGGUAUUUUUUUUCCUUCGGGGUGUGGUAUAAAUAAAAAAAAAUGUAAGAAGUUCUGUUCUAUAAAUGCAGUGUUAACAUAGUUUUCAAACAUUAAAAUGUGAAUUAAAGUACUU